AAUAAACGUCGCGACGGCGUCCAACAUCCGCGUAUCGAUCCGACGCAAUUUAUCGACGAAACGAUGAUGUUUAAACGCCCCGAACGCAAUUCAGCGAUCUUCGACGCUCGUCUCGCUUUGAUAUUCUAUUGUAUGUUAACUAAGCCGUGUGUAAUUCACCGCCGUUCGAAAAUAAAACACAACGACGACUGGGACGAUCAGCGACCGUCGCGAUUAGCGAUUUCCAGGUUUUGCCAAUGUGGCGAAGGAAAAACUGAAAACGCAACCAGUGCGCAUAGAUGAGAAGAAAGGCGUGCGAAUCCGCAUUAGGUGUUUUUUUAAAUAUGUAUAUAUAAAGUCGGGCGCAAUGUGCGCGCGUUAGACCGAUAUACCGUGCAAAUUUAAACUAAACAAACGUAAUUUUCGAAUGUCAGCGAAAAGGCGCCGUCGUGUGGCGCUUUCGGGAGCCACACGGCGCGUUGUUUACAGGAGGCGAAAAAGCCAGGGACGUCUGCCAAAAGACCUCAAUCACGUGUACGAAUGUGCAGUUCUGCGCCUCGCGCUUGUUACGUAAGCGAGCGGCGGCUUACGGCCGCGCGCGGAAUGUGAUUGUGUGCACGCGUGUCCGAAUAUCCGUUUCGCGCGUGUAUAGACGUGAAUCGUAUCUGCUACACGAAAGUGGAUGCUGUAGGUAUGCACAAGCAUGCGAAGCGAACCGAACAAAUUGGCAGCCAAUAAUUUUGCAAUCGUAAAUCAGCUUCGCUAGAAAAUCCCGUAUCCGAGUUACACAUAACGGCAUCCCAGAGACACGCAGCAACAACCCUUGAUUCAAAUGUAGUGUAGGCAACUGACCUGAAGUGGAUUGCUCUUAACAUACAAAAUUUUAUUGCAACCGUUUACUCCACCCCCCCCAAAACCGACAUAAAAAAUACAAACUUAAAUUUUAUCUUUAUAAAAGCAAACCUAAAAUUGAAUGCUACAAUAUAUUGUUCUAUUUCUCGCUUGUAAUUAAGUUAUACUCACAUUUUACAUUAUCCUUUAUACAACAAUCAUAAGAAACUCCACUUUAUCACAAUUACGUUAAUUAUGUUAAGUACUCAUUUGAUCAAUCUUCAUCAUUAUCAGCAGUAAUCAAAAUGUUUACGUGAAAAUAUAUGCCAUUGAUCGCGUGGACAAAGUUUACCUGCGCGCGUCAUACGUAAGUUCGAGUGACCAAACAGUUUAUAAUAAAUUGAUACUAUGUUUCACCAUAAAUAAUAUCAUAUGCAAAAAUUCAAGACAUAGUCUCAAUAUUGAACAUACACGCAUGAUUACACUUUUACGUCAAUGUCUAGCAGUAAAAAAUGUUAUUUUAAUUCCGAUUUUUCAAGCUUCAUAAUUUAUUGACACAUAUUUUCAUAAAUUUUUAACUUCCUCCUCUUUCCCUCUUUAAUCUUAUUUAAUAAAUAAAUACACCACCAUUGAAUUCCAAGAAAUGAUUACAAAGCAAUAGAUUCGUUUGAAGUCCACGGGAGAUAAAAAAAAACUACUCGCAUUUACACCGUUUAUGAGUGUGAGGUCUGAUAGCACUCGUUUGCCACCCAGUCAAUUCCCGCAAACAAAAUUAAAUUAUGAAAAGUAAUUUUACUCGUACGAAAUUAAUAGGUAACCGAAAAUAGAUUUUCAAAUGUGCACAUAGAAAAAAGGAAUCUGCGGAGCGUAGUAACAAAAGUCUAGUUUUAUAAAUAGCGAGAGUAAACCAACAGUGCAUGUAUGCACACACGGGUAUAUAUGUAAAGUGUAAUGUGCUAUGGGCCAGGAACAUGCACCGUUCAGAUAUUAAAAUCAGGCUUCAUUUCGAAUAAUUGUUUAUGACCAAAUACACGAAAUGGGGAAUUAUCACAUCAACACGAAGCGUUUCUUGUGUUAUUAAAUUAAAAUAAAUGAAAUGCAACAUUACAAUCAAUUAAUAAUAAAUGAUAUUCACUUGUUUCAAUGGCUGCAAAAAUUAAUGAUUUGUCCUAUAUAAUGUAAUUGGAUUAAUAUGUUAAAGUAAUAAUGUGUAUACUUUU